GAUGAACGCUGGCGGCGUGCUUAACACAUGCAAGUCGAACGGAAAGGCUCCUGCUUGCAGGGGUACUCGAGUGGCGAACGGGUGAGUAACACGUGGGUGAUCUGCCCUGCACUUCGGGAUAAGCCUGGGAAACUGGGUCUAAUACCGGAUAGGACGAUGGUUUGGAUGCCAUUGUGGAAAGUUUUUCGGUGUGGGAUGAGCUCGCGGCCUAUCAGCUUGUUGGUGGGGUAAUGGCCUACCAAGGCGUCGACGGGUAGCCGGCCUGAGAGGGUGUACGGCCACAUUGGGACUGAGAUACGGCCCAGACUCCUACGGGAGGCAGCAGUGGAGAAUAUUGCACAAUGGGCGCAAGCCUGAUGCAGCGACGCCGCGUGGGGGAUGACGGCCUUCGGGUUGUAAACUCCUUUCGCUAGGGACGAAGCGUUUUGUGACGGUACCUGGAGAAGAAGCACCGGCUAACUACGUG
rnacentral:rRNA from 1 species